rnacentral:rRNA from 1 species
AUACGGAGGGUGCAAGCGUUACUCGGAAUCACUGGGCGUAAAGCGCGCGCAGGCGGCUAUUUAAGUUGGAUGUGAAAGCCUACGGCUCAACCGUAGUACUGCAUCCAAAACUAUUUAGCUAGAGUGUGGGAGAGGAAGAUGGAAUUAGUUGUGUAGGGGUAAAAUCCGUAGAGAUAACUAGGAAUACCAAAAGCGAAGGCAAUCUUCUGGAACACUACUGACGCUGAGGCGCGAAAGCGUGGGGAGCAAACGGGAUUAGAAACCCUAGUAGUCC